GGUGAACGCUGGCGGCGUGCUUAACACAUGCAAGUCGAACGGGAAACUUUUCAUUGAAGCUUCGGCAGAUUUGGUCUGUUUCUAGUGUCGGACGGGUGAGUAACGCGUGGGUAACCUGCCUUAUACAGGGGGAUAACAACCAGAAAUGGUUGCUAAUACCGCAUAAGCGCACAGGACCGCAUGGUCCGGUGUGAAAAACUCCGGUGGUAUAAGAUGGACCCGCGUUGGAUUAGCUAGUUGGCAAGGUAACGGCCUACCCAGGAGACGAUCCAUAGACGGGAUGGGAGGGUGAACGGCCGCAAUGGGACUGAGACCAGGCCCAGACUCCUAAGGGAGGGAGGAGUGGGGAAUAUUGCACAAUGGGGGAAACCCUGAUGCAGCGACGCCGCGUGAAGGAAGAAGUAUCUCGGUAUGUAAACUUCUAUCAGCAGGGAAGAUAGUGACGGUACCUGACUAAGAAGCCCCGGCUAACUACGUGCCAGCCGCCGCGGUAA
rnacentral:rRNA from 1 species